CAAACGACUCUCGGCAACGGAUAUCUCGGCUCACGCAUCGAUGAAAAAUGCGAUACUUGGUGUGAAUUGCAGAAUCCCGUGAACCAUCGAGUUUUUGAACGCAAGUUGCGCCCGAAGCCACUCGGCCGAGGGCACGCCUGCCUGGGCGUCACGC
rnacentral:rRNA from 1 species